rnacentral:rRNA from 1 species
UACGAAGGGGGCUAGCGUUGCUCGGAAUUACUGGGCGUAAAGGGCGCGUAGGCGGUUUGCUAAGUCGAAUGUGAAAACUCUGGGCUUAACCCAGAGCCUGCAUUCGAUACUGGCAGGCUAGAGUUCUGGAGGGGAUAGCGGAAUUCCUGGUGUAGCGGUGAAAUGCGUAGAUAUCAGGAGGAACACCGGUGGCGAAGGCGGCUAUCUGGACAGAGUCUGACGCUGAUGCGCGAAAGCUAGGGGAGCAAACAGG